CGUUAUUCGGAAUUACUGGGCUUAAAGGGUGCGUAGGCGGUGCGGAAAGUUGGGUGUGAAAUCCCUCGGCUCAACCGAGGAACUGCGCCCAAAACUACCGUACUUGAGGAAGAUAGAGGUGAGCGGAACUUACGGUGGAGCGGUGAAAUGCGUUGAUAUCGUAAGGAACACCCGUGGCGAAAGCGGCUCACUGGGUCUUUUCUGACGCUGAUGCACGAAAGCUAGGGGAGCAAACGGG
rnacentral:rRNA from 1 species